rnacentral:lncRNA from 1 species
UGUUUCCAUCUGUUCCCUUUGGAAAUCCAGCAGCCAAUGUAACAGAAGUAGGACUUGUUGCAAUAUCAAUGGGUUGCCCAAAGCUUCACUCAUUACUCUACUUCUGCCACCAGAUGACAAAUGCUGCACUCAUUACAGUGGCAAAGAACUGCCCCAAUUUUAUCCGGUUCAGGUUGUGCAUCCUUGAUGCAACAAAACCUGACCCUGAUACAAUGCAGCCACUGGACGAAGGUUUCGGUGCAAUUGUGCAGUCAUGCAGGCGACUGAGGCGCCUAUCACUCUCAGGGCAGUUGACUG